UUCUUUCCUCCUUAUUUCCUUCUCCACUUCUCUCUGUUCCUCCCUUCUCCAAAAUCGCACGAGCACCAUUACUCCACCCAUUUCAGCCGAUUUCAUCUCCAUUUUUGAUUACCACCCCCACCACAUUUUCCUCCCAUGGAAGCUGAACUAGACUCGAUCGGCCUCUUCCUCUCUCGCACGUUGCUCAUCUUCGUAUCUCUCUCUCUCUAUCAAUUUCUCUCUCUCUUAUCUCUCUCUCUAUCAAUUUCUCUCUCUCUUACUCGUUCUACCCUCUGACUUCAAACCCUAGGGCCUUCACAAAAGACCCUCUCUCUCUCUCUCUCUCUCUCCCCCCACUGUAGAUUUCUUGGGGGUUUGGUGCUACGUGUGUUGUGGGAGUUCUUGGAGUUCUGAGUUGCCGAUCGGUGUCCGUGGGUUUUGGGGAUUUUUCCUACUUUGUAGUGCGAUUUUGGGUUGCUGUUGACAAUCUCCCACAGCAAAUAUAAUUCUCUGCCGUUCAAUAAAUAUGCGUUCUUGACAACCCAUAAUGCUUAUGCUAUCGAUGGAGAGCCAUCUCACACAGGAGUUCCUUGGAUUACCCUCGUAAAUCAAGAAGAUACUGUCACUCAACAGCUAAAUAAUGGAGUUCACGGCUUGAUGCUCGAUACGUAUGAUUUUCAAGGAGAUGUUUUGUGACGCCCCCAAUUCUCACGUAUGGACACGUGGAAAAUCGAAGCAUCGAGAUGAUGACAACACGGGUCACCAUCCUAUCGCCAAGUGCCAAGUGUGUAUACGUGCAACAAGUGUACAAUAAAAACACACAGCAGAUAAUAAAAGUCUUAUAACUAAG